AUGCAAUCUUAUGAAGAAAAACUUGAGUUGAAAGUUUCUAUCCCUAGGAAACUUUAUGAUGAGUGGGAACCUACUAUUAAAAUUAAAAUUAAAGAUUAUGAGUUUUAUGCUUUGUGUGAUUUGGGUGCUAGUGUCUCUACUAUUCCCAAAACUUUGUGUGAUUUGCUAGAUUUCCGUGAUUUUGAUGAUUGCUCUCUAAACUUGCAUCUUGCGGAUUCCACUAUUAAGAAACCAAUGGGAAAAAUUAAUGAUGUUCUUAUUGUUGCAAAUAGGAAUUAUGUGCCCACGAAUUUUAUCGUUCUUGAUAUAGAUUGCAAUCCUUCUUGCCCUAUUAUUCUCGGUAGACCUUUCCUUAGAACGAUUGGUGCAAUUAUUGAUAUGAAGGAAGCGAAUAUUAGAUUUAAAUUUCCAUUAAAAAGGGCAUGGAACACUUCCCUAGAAAGAAAAUAA
rnacentral:rRNA from 1 species